rnacentral:rRNA from 1 species
GAUGAACGCUGGCGGCGUGCUUAACACAUGCAAGUCGAACGGAAAGGCCAGUGCUUGCCCUGGUGCUCGAGUGGCGAACGGGUGAGUAACACGUGGGUGAUCUGCCCUGCACUUUGGGAUAAGCCUGGGAAACUGGGUCUAAUACCAGAUAGGACCAUGCUUUGGAUGGUGUGGUGGAAAGUUUUUUCGGUGUGGGAUGAGCUUGCGGCCUAUCAGCUUGUUGGUGGGGUAAUGGCCUACCAAGGCGUCGACGGGUAGCCGGCCUGAGAGGGUGUACGGCCACAUUGGGACUGAGAUACGGCCCAGACUCCUACGGGAGGCAGAAGUGGGGAAUAUUGCACAAUGGGCGCAAGCCUGAUGCAGCGACGCCGCGUGGGGGAUGACGGCCUUCGGGCUGUAAACUCCUUUCGCAACUGACGAAGCUUUUUGUGACGGUAGGUUGAGAAGAAGCACCGGCUAACUACGUG